rnacentral:lncRNA from 1 species
CCAAAUCCGGUUAUACAAAACCAAAAAGUGAUAAACCAAAACUGGUUUAAGAAAACCAAAAAAAUGGUGAUGGAAAAUGCAGGUAAGGGACGGUAGCAACUAAAUGGGUCCAAAAAGCGUUUGUUUUUGGCUAAGAUUACUUUGAGUUUUAUUAGCAUAGUUCAUAUUUCUAGGACUAGUAAUGUCCAUGCUGACAUAAUAAAUUUAGUCUCUCUCAGCCCUCUAACCAAUUAACUAUCUUUCAGAGGGUUCGAGAUGAUUAUCUUUUGGUGUUCAUAAUAUUUCGAUCACUAGAUCGAUCCUUUUGUUCUGUUAGCGGAUUAUGCUCUUCGCUUAGGCGAUUUUUGAUGUGUGUUUUCAAGCUAUUCUUGAAGCUGAUUUCCUUGUUCAAUAUCUUAUCUUCAAAAAUAGUUUGAAUUUUAAUGAAGUUUAUGAUCUCCUCCUUCGCAACGAAACUUAAAUCCCGUUUUGUUUUCAAUCGAAUUUUCUUUUUCUCGCGGUUAUGCUCAUAUGCUUUGUUUUGUGGGUGUCAAUCUUUACUCUCACGUGUUGUGAGCCUUGAAUUGGGCGUUCAAGUAAAGUUUCCUGAUAUACAAAACAAUAUGUGUUGUUUGGUUCAUCUCGAUUGAUUUCUCGGAGGCUUAGUAGAGUCGGUAUCUUUAUGAUGGUCCGAUAAAAGGUCAUGUGAGAAUCAGAAUCGAGUUUUUUCCCUGGAUUUAUUAAUCGGAGAUGAAGAAUUCUGGUUGUAAACGGCGGUAUAGGCGGAGGUUUGGGGCUAGAUGUGAUCGGGAAUGACGAGGAAGAUGAAGAUCCAAGGAACUUGCGGAAGAGCCCAAGGCGGCGACAGGCUCACGGUCACCGGAGUAAACUCAUUAGGGCAUGUGCGACACAUGUUGAUACACGUGCUUUAACUUACUCCAAACGCGUGGUACUGAUGGUAAACAUGAUAUUAUUGUGAAUGGACCUUGUAUUUUAAUCUUUAAUUGGUAUCUUCGUUUGAGUUUUAUUGUAAUCCUGAUCCAUAUAAAAUGCCCUUCUGGGUUUCUCUGACAAAAGAGAAAAUUGAAAAAAAAAGACAAAAGAAAACACUAAAAGUGUUAUAAACCAUACGAUGGAUGUCCAUAACCGAUCCGGUUUAUAAUCGGUCCGGUUUAUAACCGGUCCAAUAUCAAGAGAGAGACGGUCUAACCCUAGUGAAAGAGAGAGGCGACCGCAUAAAGAGGAGAGAGAAACGGCUUAGGUUUUAGAGAAAAGGAAAUCUUAUUUCUUUUUCCUUGUAUUUGUACAUUUUCCAUA